rnacentral:rRNA from 1 species
UACGAGAGGCCCAAACGUUAUUCGGAAUUAUUGGGCGUAAAGAGCUCGUAGGCGGUGUGUCACGUCGGCCGUGAAAACCUGCAGCUUAACUGUGGGCGUGCGGUCGAUACGGGCAUCACUGGAGUUCGGCAGGGGAGACUGGAAUUCCUGGUGUAGCGGUGAAAUGCGCAGAUAUCAGGAGGAACACCGGUGGCGAAGGCGGGUCUCUGGGCCGAUACUGACGCUGAGGAGCGAAAGCGUGGGGAGCGAACAGG